UCCGGUAUAGUGUAACGGUCAACAUAUCGCGUUUUCAAGUUAAAUUAACAUAACCAAAUCCGCGAAGCUCGGGGUUCGAUUCCCCGUACCGGAG